GACGAACGCUGGCGGCGUGCUUAACACAUGCAAGUCGAACGGUAAGGCCCUUCGGGGUACACGAGUGGCGAACGGGUGAGUAACACGUGGGUGAUCUGCCCUGCACUUCGGGAUAAGCCUGGGAAACUGGGUCUAAUACCGGAUAGGACCACUGCCUGCAUGGGCGGUGGUGGAAAGCUUUUGCGGUGUGGGAUGGGCCCGCGGCCUAUCGGCUUGUUGGUGGGGUGAUGGCCUACCAAGGCGACGACGGGUAGCCGGCCUGAGAGGGUGACCGGCCACACUGGGACUGAGAUACGGCCCAGACUCCUACGGGAGGCAGCAGUGGGGAAUAUUGCACAAUGGGCGCAAGCCUGAUGCAGCGACGCCGCGUGAGGGAUGACGGCCUUCGGGUUGUAAACCUCUUUCAGCACCGACGAAGCGCAAGUGACGGUAGGUGCAGAAGAAGGACCGGCCAACUACGUGCCAGCCGCCGCGGUAAUAC
rnacentral:rRNA from 1 species